rnacentral:lncRNA from 1 species
UCGGGUCAAUUUGAGGUCAAAUAUCUCUGACAACAAGGAGCUCCAAUACACAAUUUCUUGUUUAUUUCAUCAAAAAGAAUAAAUAUCGCUGUGAAAUCUUCUUUUCUAUUUGAUCUGUUUUCAUUGAUAAUUCAACUGCACUACAAUUUUACAACUGUCAACAAUAUCUGACCCUUUCAUCUUGUGAUAAUCCACAAAAAAACAAAUGUUAUGUAAGAAGUAGGUCACGAUUGUGCAUACAAACUUAUUGAAAAGCACGCCGCCAUUUUGUGCAGCAAUUCUAAAAGGUC